GACGAACGCUGGCGGCGUGCUUAACACAUGCAAGUCGAACGGUAAGGCCCUUCGGGGUACACGAGUGGCGAACGGGUGAGUAACACGUGGGUGAUCUGCCCUGCACUUCGGGAUAAGCCUGGGAAACUGGGUCUAAUACCGGAUAGGACCACUGCCUGCAUGGGUGGUGGUGGAAAGCUUUUGCGGUGUGGGAUGGGCCCGCGGCCUAUCAGCUUGUUGGUGGGGUGAUGGCCUACCAAGGCGACGACGGGUAGCCGGCCUGAGAGGGUGACCGGCCACACUGGGAGUGAGAUACGGCGCAGACUCCUACGGGAGGCAGCAGUGGGGAAUAUUGCACAAUGGGCGCAAGCCUGAUGCAGCGACGCCGCGUGAGGGAUGACGGCCUUCGGGUUGUAAACCUCUUUCAGCACCGACGAAGCGCAAGUGACGGUAGGUGCAGAAGAAGGACCGGCCAACUACGUGCCAGCCGCCGCGGUAAGAC
rnacentral:rRNA from 1 species